ensembl:lncRNA
CAACAGUGCAUUAUGUCAACAGAGGGAGAGACUUGAAUGCAGAAACGUACAUUAUUAUUAUUAUUAUUAUUUAGCCAAUGUCUUUGUCCAAGCCAAGGCCAUCUACAACAGAAGAAAGAUUCUUAGAAUAGCACAAUUUGCUACGUAGCCUGAAAAACUCCAGUAAAAAUCUCAGGUGUAGAGAUGGGCCAAAUACUGUGUCAUUAAAAAAACUGUUCCCGGAGAAAAAAGUAAUAAUAAUACUAAUAGUAAUAAUAAUAAUAAUAAUGAUUUCUGGACGUGUACUCUAAAGUAAUGAGGGGAAUGAAAGCGCGCGCUCUCAGUUGAAACUCCGCGCUUACGAGCCUUCCCGUUUCAGUAAGUCGCGCGGCGCUCCGUGACGUCACGUACGCGCGCACUGUACGCGGAACGUUCCUCCGAGCGCGUGCUGCUGGCGCCGUGAGCACAUGGAGAAGGGCUCAAGGUGGAGAAGGGUGGAAAAGUACGUCGUUUCUCUUUCCGGAGACGGUUUAUUAUUUUUCCACGCACAAAGUGGAAUAAUGUGGACAUCUCAGCUCGAGAAGAAAAGCGAACCGAGGGAAGGGCUCCGUACCACUGGGACUGCAUUGAACAGUUGCGGAUGGAUCGAUGGAUCAAUGGAUCGAUGGCUUCAUUAACACUAAGGAUGAUUCGGAGCUCCGGACAUGUGGGAGGUGUAAGGCCCGGAGAGAUAGAGGAGCAACCCAGCUUCCACUGGUGGGGAAAUAUGGUUUAAUACGUCUCACCGAAAGCCCUUUUGGACCGAAAGUGUCCUCCUCACCAACUACCAGCUUCAUCUCUAUCUUCGUCUGCAAGCAGACCACACCUGCUGUCCAGCCACGUCCCACGAGGGACCCCGUUCCUCUGCUGAUGACCCUCCAGCCCAGGCCGCUUCCUCCAGCUGACUCCGGCCGAUGUGAGGGUCUACUGCCUUCCCAUCCAGAUGAGGAUGAGGUCCACCUUCUCACCACCAUACCUUGAGACGGGGGCUAUAAACUGGAAUUUGAACUGCAUCUUCCAAGACUUCUGAUUGGCCGGCACCAGCGGAGAGCCAGCCAAUCACCUGGCACUGGCACGGAGGCCCUUAAACAGCGGGGACAGUGUUUCUCUCUUUAAGCGGGCUAUCGUGCCUUUCCCUUCCCCACAGGGGUGCUGGGAACACAGAUUAGUGUCGCGGUAGACGGUGCGGCUUGCUCGGUGAGAGAGGGGUCCCCGGUGAAAACCGUGCUGCGAAACUGCUGCGUUUGUUGAGAUGAGGAGGGAACCGGGCGCCUCGUCUGUUGGUGUGCAUCCCGCACCCUGGCGAAACACGACAACUGUCAAAAGAAGGAACCGGCGGUGCGAAAGGUGUCAAAAGAUGGCACCGCGGCCCGAGCGCGGCAUGGGAACCUCCUGCUGCUCCCGCGAGGUCACGACGGGCGAAGGAGGAAUGCGCGCGGGGAGUCGGCAGACCGAUCGGCAGCUGGCCGCCGGGGUUCGUGUGUCAGCGCUUGUCAGUAGGCGGGACGGCGGUGGCCCGGUGCGCAGGGGGUGUUGAGGGCCACACCUUGACAUGAGGCCAAAGGGUUACAGUCAUUGUUCUCCCAGAAGGAGCGGCACUCUUCACGCCGAACGCGAAGAACGAGCUUUGGCACGGUGACGGAUGACAGAAGGGCGGGAGGUGCGAGCGAUCCCGUUUCACGUAUCUCCGGGGGGCGCCUGGCGUGACAAUAUUCGUCUCGUGUCGGAGGGACUGUUUUUAGAGCGAGCGGAAGAGGAAAAAGGCAGCGGCAUCGCAGGCGCUGUCUAACCGCUGUCCCCUCGCCCAGCGCCCCCACCGUCAAUACAGCCCUUGUUUCCCGCGGAGGCCCCAGAAGUCGCCCUCGUCGGACCGCGACGCCGCGUCGGCCCGGGCGUGUUUACACACGUGUCGGGGAGCGGAGCGGGCGAGCGGCGGGGACGGGGAGCGGGUCGGGGGGCACAAGCGCCGCCGUUGUCCUUC